AUGUGGAACAGACUGAUAUCAACCAAAGCUUGAGACAAAACAAUAUAUUCCUAUUGCGCCACAAAAGGUCAGAUAAAACUGCGUUAACUGAAGAGCAACACGUUAACUGCAUCAAGGAUACAUCGUGUUUUGGUGAGUAACAUGAAAACAUAACUUCACAAGGCACCUUUAAUUGGGAUUAUGGGGCUAUAAUGUAAUUGAGAUUAUUAUUUUUUAAAUUAUAUAAUUUA